rfam:Zootermopsis nevadensis contig29433, whole genome shotgun sequence.
GCAGUCAGUUUGGCACUAUACGAACUAACAUUGCAGUAAUACAGGGAAGAUUAGUGUGGCCCCUGCACAAGGAUUACAUGGAAGAUCGUGAAGCGUUUCGUAAUUUU